UACUGCUAUCAGNUGNUUCGAUUAAGCCAUGCGAGNUUAAAUGUUCUUCGUGAACAUGGCGUACUGCUCAGUAACACGUGGAUAACCUGCCCUAAGGUCCGGCAUAACCCCGGGAAACUGGGGAUAAUACCGGAUAAACCAUAGAUACUGGAAUGUUCUGUGGUUAAAAGUUCCGGCGCCUUAGGAUGGAUCUGCGGCCUAUCAGGUAGUAGUGGGUGUAAAGUACCUACUAGCCGACGACGGGUACGGGUUGUGAGAGCAAGAGCCCGGAGAUGGAUUCUGAGACAUGAAUCCAGGCCCUACGGGGCGCAGCAGGCGCGAAACCUUUACACUGCGGGAAACCGCGAUAAGGGGACACCGAGUGCCAGCAUACAAUGCUGGCUGUCCACAUGUGUAAAUAGCAUGUGAUAGCAAGGGCCGGGCAAGACCGGUGCCAGCCGCCGCGGUAACACCGGCGGCCCGAGUGGUAAUCACUAUUAUUGGGUCUAAAGGGUCUGUAGCCGGCCAGGUAAGUCCCUUGGGAAAUCUGGCAGCUCAACUGUCAGGCUGCUAGGGGAUACUGUUUGG
rnacentral:rRNA from 1 species